rnacentral:sRNA from 1 species
CCUCUCACUUCGCACUACACGUUGGCAA